GUGCAAUCUUUGGUGAAUUCCCAGCUAGCGAAGCACUGGAGGAAGAAUUUGAACUGCUAGAUCCUAAAUCGAUUAGUGACUGUGCCUUCUGCAUGUUAGAUCCACCAAACCCUCCUGCCACGGGACCUAAGGAACCAGUAUGAGGCUGCGUUGAAGAGAAAGGUAUAGCCAAGGGCUGCAGAAGACUGGAUGUUCCAUUUGGCAGUGAU
rnacentral:lncRNA from 1 species